AACCAUUCUCACCUGCGGCUAGACCUGCGGAGGGAUCAUUACUGAGUGAGGGCUCACGCCCGACCUCCAACCCUUUGUGAACCAAACUUGUUGCUUCGGGGGCGACCCUGCCGACGACUCCGUCGCCGGGCGCCCCCGGAGGUCUUCUAAACACUGCAUCUUUGCGUCGGAGUUUAAACAAAUUAAACAAAACUUUCAACAACGGAUCU
rnacentral:misc_RNA from 1 species